AACGACAAAGGCAAACCUAUCGAAAGAUAGGGACGCAAAGCUAUAGGGCCUUUCGCAAGAGUGGCAGCCUGGCUACCGAGA
rnacentral:ncRNA from 1 species